CAAAGAAGGACUACCCCUAUGGCCGGUGAGUUCUCUGCCUUCUCACCCCAGAGUAAGCAAUUGAGAUGGCAGGGGCAAGCUGGAUAUCUGUCUCAUAGUAGCAGGGGACUCUCUGCUUGCUGCUCUGAGCCCACUCACAUGGAGGGCUGAAUUCCUCUCUCUCAACAGGAAAUAAGAAGUUACUUGAAAUGGGGUCACCUGCUGUUUGACAAAGAAGUACAACAGGAGUACAAUGGAAACCUAUUUGGCUGAAAGUGAAUAGAUGGAUGUAUUUACUUCUGGCUGUGGACUUGCAAGUUACUUGUGACAAUAUCGCUUUGCUUCCUCCUAUGCUGUACAAAACAUCCAGAUUAAUCUUUCUAAAACAUUUCUAGGCCCUUCCUACAAAAUUAAAGAACCAAAAACAGAUUCUUAAACCCAACAUCUUGCAAAAUCUGGACUCACCUCUCUUCCCAAAUUAUUUCUCUUGAUUUAUUCCUGGAUUGAACCUGCAUUCCGUACAGGUUACUCAUGGUCUUUUGAACUUAGCGUAUAUAUUUCUUUCCCCAGGGUAUUGCUUGUACUGUGUCCUGAGCCCGAGAUGUUCUUCCUGCCAUCUUUUCCAAACAGAAAAAUUCCUGCCAAUUUUCAUGCUCAGGCAAAUUGCUAUGGCUUGGAUGUGGUUUGAAUGUGUCCCCCCUCCAGGUUCACGGUUGACAUUUAAUCCCCAUUAUGGAUAUUAAGAGGGUGGAAACUUAAUCUGACUAUGGUGUUUAGAAGUGAGCCCUUUAGGAGGAGAUUAAGUUUGGAUAAGGUUAUCAGAGUGGAGCCCUCAUGAUUGAAUAUCAGUGGUUUUGUAAUAAAAGGGAGAGAGAUCAAAGAGAUACACAUGUGUGUUCUGUCUCUCACCACAUGAUGUUCUAUGCUGCCUUGGAACUCUGCCAGCCAGAAGACUAUCAUCAGAUGUGGGCCUUUCAACCUCCAGAACAUUGAACUAUGAGGUAAAUAACCUUUUUUGCUCUACAAAGUAAUCCCAUUUGAGGUAUUCUGCUAUAGUAAUGAAAAGCAGACUAAUACAGCAUAUAUGCAGGACAUUGAUUGGAACAAAAAAGAAACUAGAUUCAUAUUUAAAACUUGAGGUUAAAGCUGGAGCAGAGCUCAGCCAAGCAUGUUCAAUAUCCUGCACUGUAAAACAAAUCAAAAAUAACAACAACAAUACAUUUGUGGCUUAUAAAUAUCUUUGUAUUUUAACAAUACAUCAAGAGAUCUCCCCCCCAAAUAAAAGGAAAAUUAUGAAAAGUUGAUCCAUCUGAUUGGAAAUUGGAGCAGAGAAUAAUCAUUCCAUAUCAUGUGAGUACGUUUUACCUGGUAAUUUCAUUAACAUCAGAACUACUCCACCCAUCUCUAAUACUACUUGUCAACAACAGUACCUUUGGAUUGGAAUGAAAAAUCAGCCCUUCCUACAUGAUAAUCCAAAUUCAACAACCCAGAAUCUUGAGACAGGAAAAUUCAGUUUUCAGUUCUCAGUCUCCUCCCAUUCUUUUUUGGUUCAUCUGCAGAGAGAUGGCCCAUUAAGACCUGUGCGUGUGCAUUCUAGACACCAGUGAGAGUAAAGACUUUAUUUUGUUUAUCGUGAAACAUCUCCUACAAAAUGGGAGUAACUGCUCGAAGCCCCAUGGUGACAGUGUUUGAUCUGCAAGCUCUUGAAGGAUUAUAUUUGUGUUGCUCGAUAAAUAUUGAAUGAAUAAAGAGAGCCUAAGCUGGAUCUAGAAAUUUCUCUUCCCCUUGUCCUCGAGCUGUGUGUUUUUCAAGAGCCUGUCCUGCCUUCCGUGUUGUCUUGGCAUGUGUGUGUCUGUGUUCCCCACUUCACUGUGCCUCCUGGGAACAGGAGACAUAUUUUAUUCAUGUUUGUCUUUCUCCCUGUGGUUAAUAAAUCUAUGACUUUCAGAAGAUUUUCAGGAAGAUUGUAUUCAAUAAUAAAAGCAAAUAAAUGCCUGUUAUAAAGUUAAA
rnacentral:lncRNA from 1 species